rnacentral:rRNA from 1 species
UACGGGAGGCAGCAGUGGGGAAUAUUGCACAAUGGGCGCAAGCCUGAUGCAGCCAUGCCGCGUGUAUGAAGAAGGCCUUCGGGUUGUAAAGUACUUUCAGUCGUGAGGAAGGUGUUAAGGUUAAUAACCUUAGCAAUUGACGUUAGCGACAGAAGAAGUACCGGCUAACUCCGUGCCAGCAGCCGCGGUAAUACGGAGGGUGCGAGCGUUAAUCGGAAUUACUGGGCGUAAAGGGCACGCAGGCGGUUAAUUAAGUUGGAUGUGAAAUCCCCGGGCUUAACCUGGGAAUGGCAUUCAAGACUGGUUAGCUAGAGUCUUGUAGAGGGGGUAGAAUUCCAUGUGUAGCGGUGAAAUGCGUAGAGAUGUGGAGGAAUACCGGUGGCGAAGGCGGCCCCUGGACAAAGACUGACGCUCAUGUGCGAAAGCGUGGGGAGCAAACAGGGAUUAGAUACC